CCUACGGGUGGCAGCAGUAGGGAAUAUUGCUCAAUGGGGGAAACCCUGAAGCAGCAACGCCGCGUGGAGGAUGAAGGUUUUCGGAUUGUAAACUCCUUUUGUUAGAGAAGAUAAUGACGGUAUCUAACGAAUAAGCACCGGCUAACUCCGUGCCAGCAGCCGCGGUAAUACGGAGGGUGCAAGCGUUACUCGGAAUCACUGGGCGUAAAGAGCGCGUAGGCGGGAUAGCAAGUCAGAUGUGAAAUCCUAUGGCUUAACCAUAGAACUGCAUUUGAAACUGUUAUUCUAGAGUAUGGGAGAGGUAGGUGGAAUGCUUGGUGUAGGGGUAAAAUGCGUAGAGAUCAAGAGGAAUACUCAUUGCGAAGGCGACCUGCUAGAACAUAACUGACGCUGAUGCGCGUAAGCGUGGGGAGCAAACAGGAUUAGAUACCCCAGUAGUC
rnacentral:rRNA from 1 species